rnacentral:pre_miRNA from 1 species
CUAUUACUCCCUCCGUCCGGAAAAGCUUGUCCCUCAAAUGAAUGUAUCUAGCACUAACUUGGUGCUAGAUACAUCCAUUUGAGAGACAAGCUUGGGACAAGUUUUUUCGGACGGAGGGAGUACAAC